ACGACUCCGCGCUCCAUGAGGCGUCUACGUAUUGACGUCUAUGGCUGCAGCAGCCAGGCAGAAGCUGCCUAACUGAGCUGCUGGGAUCUGACUGACUGUGUACCAGACGUUGAGUGUCUCACACUGUCUUGUAGCAGAAGCUGCCUAACUGAGCUGCUGGGAUCUGACUGACCGUGUACCAGACCUGAUCGGUGAGUGUGUCUCACGCUGCCUUGUAGGAACAAACUGACGCAGAUCCUGAUUCCAGUGUGAUUGACCCUGUAACACAUGUCCACUUAACCCAUUUGCUUUGUUCACUGCAAACCUCUGGAGGUACACAGGAGCCAAAACAACAACUAAUCAACAUUUGUGCAAUAACGACUAACACAUACUCUCCCUUGCUUACCAUAUAGUUCCUAGCAAGCGUGUUUUGCACCUCUAGUACAUUUGUCACAUUGGAUCCACAUUAUUUGAUGAACUCUUGUCAGAUUUGUAAACUGACCCAUGGUUUUUACAACCUUUUUUUAAACCUUGACUCGGUUGAUUGUAGAAACACAUUUCACCAAACAGUCUGAAAUCUAUGGAGUAUGUCUACCUACAUCUAGAGAACAUCUGUGAGCAUUGACUUGGCCAAUUAGAUUGGAGUCCGGGCUUUGACAGGACCAUUUGAUUGAAACCAUUUUACUGCAGUUUGAGUCAUAUUAUUGAAGCAAACUGAGCUGCACUCAUCUUCCCAUCAGGUCUGACCGUGUUUCCUGUCCACUGAAUGACACAGCCGAUUCUUAAGGUGUUUUUUUAAUACCCUAUGACUUAAAUUUCUCCACAGCUUUACUCCUGAUUGCUGUUACUAUGGUAAUGUGGCCUCGUUUUCCUUUUUUCAAGUUAAUUUCAUGUUUCUUACAUGGUGUUUGGAUUGUUUGUUAUAUUUUGAAGUAAUUUGCUUUUCUUAUUAGAUUUAUUUUGGGGUUUUUUUUUUUGUUUGUUUGUUGUGUCGAAUGUUUUUUUAAUUUUUGUUUUGCUUUUGAGGUGACCACUCAUACCCAGAGACGCCCACUGCAGCGGCACAGAUGUUCUCUAUUAGUUAAGCAGCCUGCAGACCAGGAAGCCGGUAAUAUAGAGGUAGCUGUGCGGUACAAGCGAGAGACGGAGCCGGACAGAUCACAGGUGUAGGAGCAGCAGGGCGGCGGGACUGGAGGACUGGUCGCCGUCGAGUAACGGACGACCGGGUGUUGGAGCACGAGUGGCCGGAUCGCCGCUGAGAUUCGCCCGUGGCCGCGGCGGGUCCUGCUGCUGGUGCCGCUUGGGAUCGGUCGGCUGGCGACGGGAGGGACUGAGCGCCGGAGAGGACCGCGCCCCCUCUUGGGCUAGCUAAGAGUCCAUCCUUCCUUAUACAGACUUAUCCAUUGACUACCGCACAUUCUUGGCUGCAUCUGGUUUUUUUGUGUGAUUAAUUUUUUAAUAAAUUCUUAACUUAUCAGUUCGUUUUUAAAUCCCUGCCCACAGACAGAAUGGCUUCAUUUAUUUCUUCCAUUGCAAUGACCAAACUACAAACCUCUGUGGAGACGUUGUGAUUUUAAAACUGGAGAAAUUGAGCUCAAUGGGAGAAAUCCCAGACAGUGCACUGAAGAGAUUAGAAAUGAGCAGAAUUGUAUUGGAAGACAAUUGCCAGAGAAAAAUGAAACACUUCAGAUGGUUUAUACAAACACUUUGAAAAUGACAAAAGGAUUUUUUUUCCCCAGAUUGUUUUUGUAAUGAUGUAAAAUUGAAUAUAUGACAAAUGACUCAUUUCCCUUCAAUUUGGGUUUGGUCUGUCACAUAAAAUACAAAUGGAAUACAUUAAAAUUUAUCGUGGAAACAUG